rnacentral:misc_RNA from 1 species
GGAUGCAGUAGUACCAGCUCUCCUGCAGAGGUUCGGCCGGGAUCGUCAAAACGACUAAACUCGCAGGUGGCAGUAACAAAAAAUGGUAGUCGUUCUUCAUUUUUCCAACUGUUGAUAUCCGAUAUUUCUAAUACUCGUUCGUGCGACCAACCAACUUCACCUCCGUGCCCUGUAUAGUUUACAAUUAACGCGCCCCGUUCUACUCUUUGAUUUAAUGCAUUUUUCGCAU